rnacentral:rRNA from 1 species
GCGGCGGACGGGUGAGUAACACGUGGGCAACCUGCCCUGCAGACUGGGAUAACUUCGGGAAACCGGAGCUAAUACCGGAUAACACCGAAAACCGCAUGGUUUUCGGUUGAAAGGCGGCUUUUAGCUGUCACUGCAGGAUGGGCCCGCGGCGCAUUAGCUAGUUGGUGAGGUAACGGCUCACCAAGGCGACGAUGCGUAGCCGACCUGAGAGGGUGACCGGCCACACUGGGACUGAGACACGGCCCAAACUCCUACGGGAGGCAGCAGUAGGGAAUCUUCCGCAAUGGACGAAAGUCUGACGGAGCAACGCCGCGUGAGCGAAGAAGGUCUUCGGAUCGUAAAGCUCUGUUGUCAGGGAAGAACAAGUACCGUUCGAACAGGGCGGUACCUUGACGGUACCUGACAAGGAAGCCACGGCUAACUACUUGCCAGCAGCCGCGGUAAUAC